UGCAGCCCAAAUCGGGUGGUAAAUUUCGUCCAAGGCUAAAUAUUUGCGAGAGACCGAUAGCAAACAAGUACCGCGAGGGAAAGAUGAAAAGGACUUUGAAAAGAGAGUCAAAGAGUGCUUGAAAUUGUCGGGAGGGAAGCGAAUGGGGGCCGGCAAUGCGCCUCGGUCGCAUGCGGAACGGUCGUAAGCCGGUCCGUCGAUCGGCUCGAGGUGCGGGUCAAAGCGGAUUGAGGUGGCGGUUGAAGCCGGAGCUAUAGACACAGCCUUUCGGAUAUGCCGUCCCCUUGAUCAUCACCAGCAACGCGCGCUUCAAGCGAUGCGCUUCAGCAUCGGUGUGCUCCGGGCAUCGACUCGUGGGCUCCUCAUUCGACC
rnacentral:rRNA from 1 species